AGUGAACGCUGGCGGUAGGCCUAACACAUGCAAGUCGAACGGCAGCACAGUAAGAGCUUGCUCUUACGGGUGGCGAGUGGCGGACGGGUGAGGAAUACAUCGGAAUCUACUUUUUCGUGGGUGAUAACGUAGGGAAACUUACGCUAAUACCGCAUACGACCUACGGGUGAAAGCAGGGGAUCUUCGUACCUUGCGCGAUUGAAUGAGCCGAUGUCGGAUUAGCUAGUUGGCGGGGUAAAGGCCCACCAAGGCGACGAUCCGUAGCUGGUCUGAGAGGAUGAUCAGCAACACUGGAACUGAGACACGGUCCAGACUCCUACGGGAGGCAGCAGUGGGGAAUAUUGGACAAUGGGCGAAAGCCUGAUCCAGCCAUACCGCGUGGGUGAAGAAGGCCUUCGGGUUGUAAAGCCCUUUUGUUGGGAAAGAAAAGCAGAAGGUUAAUACCCCGAUGUUCUGACGGUACCAAAAGAAUAAGCACCGGCUAACUUCGUG
rnacentral:rRNA from 1 species